UACGUAGGGUGCGAGCGUUGUCCGGAAUUAUUGGGCGUAAAGAGCUCGUAGGCGGUUCGGUAAGUCGGAUGUGAAAUCUCCACGCUCAACGUGGAGAGGCCAUUCGAUACUGCCGUGACUCGAGUCCGGUAGGGGAGUGUGGAAUUCCCGGUGUAGCGGUGAAAUGCGCAGAGAUCGGGAGGAACACCCGUAGCGAAGGCGGCACUCUGGGCCGGAACUGACGCUGAGGAGCGAAAGCGUGGGGAGCAAACAGG
rnacentral:rRNA from 1 species